UACAGAGGGUGCGAGCGUUGUUCGGAAUUAUUGGGCGUAAAGCGCGUGUAGGCGGCUUUGCAAGUCGGGUGUGAAAGCCCUCAGCUCAACUGAGGAAGUGCGCCCGAAACUGCAGAGCUUGAGUACCGGAGAGGAUGGCGGAAUUCCCGAAGUAGAGGUGAAAUUCGUAGAUAUCGGGAGGAACACCAGUUGCGAAGGCGGCGAUCUGGGAAGAUACUGACGCUGAGGUGCGAAAGCGUGGGGAGCAAACAGG
rnacentral:rRNA from 1 species